rnacentral:rRNA from 1 species
CGAGUUUAUCCUGGCUCAGGAUGAACGCUAGCGGCAGGCUUAAUACAUGCAAGUCGAACGGGAUUUAGGGUAGCAAUACUUUAAUGAGAGUGGCGCACGGGUGCGUAACACGUAUGCAACCUACCUUUAACUGGAAGAUAGCCCCGGGAAAUCGGGAUUAAUAUUUCAUAACACUGCGCUGUGGCAUCACAGUGCAAUUAAAGCUCCGGCGGUUAAAGAUGGGCAUGCGCGACAUUAGCUAGUUGGUGAGGUAACGGCCCACCAAGGCUACGAUGUCUAGGGGUCCUGAGAGGGUUAUCCCCCACACUGGUACUGAGACACGGACCAGACUCCUACGGGAGGCAGCAGUAAGGAAUAUUGGUCAAUGGGCGCAAGCCUGAACCAGCCAUGCCGCGUGCAGGAAGACGGCCCUAUGGGUUGUAAACUGCUUUUAUCAGGGAAUAAACCUCCGUACGAGUACGGGGCUGAAGGUACCUGAAGAAUAAGCAUCGGCUAACUCCGUG